AGGCCCUAAGGGGUGUCACAAACCUAGGGAGUCGAAUCUUAGGGGAGGGGGUUGAAACUUCUCUAGAACAGAGCUCCAUUGGGUUAGCGUUCCAGAAAAUGGGAUCUUUUGGGGGGCGAGGAGAGCCCGUCGAAGGUCAUAGGAUUAGCGGGCCCUUAAACGCUGUAACCAGAUGAGCGACUUCACUUGAUUUACUGUUGUCAUGCGUGCUACUCUCUUGACCAGAGGGAUCCCAGCCACUAUGGAGGACCCACAUCCCGAAGAGAUCAUGGAGCAGCAGGAUUCGUCCAAGGAGAGGAGUCCCCGCAGUCCAGGAGGCGACGUCUGUGAGUGCUGCUGGCCAGAGGAGGGUGGGGUGCUGGAGCUGAUGCUAGCUAAAAGGAUUUCCGUGGCAUCUCAGUGGCCAAGGCGUUACAAGGACUUGCCUGCUGGGGAGGGGCUGUAAUAAAUGGUUUCUAAGCUGCUCUACUGGAAACUGCCACACUCCACCCUUACUCUGCUCAGAUGUACCCACCCUGCUCCGUCCCUGUAAAGCUUCAAGGGGCCACUGUUCAAAGGGACGGAGUAGCAUCCAGAGGGGCUUGGGGUGGGAGAUGUGGCUGGGAGAGGGCAGAGACUUUGAGAGGGAGCCCAGGGUUCCAGUCCCAACUGGGCCACAGACUUUGCCUGUGACUUGGGCCUGGGUUUCCGUCUGUCAAAAGAGGCUGCGGCUACUCAGGUGACUCGGCUGUUGUUAUGGGGAUUAGGGAUUAGAAAGGGAAGGUUUGCAGCCAGUUCGCCUGGGAAUGAUGGCAAAAGCAUACUGCUGACUGCUCUUUGUGUGGUGGGCGUGUUCUCCUAUUGAGUUUAACCAUCAUUAUCUCAGUCCUCCUGACAGCCUUUGAACUUGGUUAAGUAUUACUUUCAGGUAAGGGAGCGGAGGCAAAGAGAUUCUAACAAUGAGCCGCCACCCAGUCAAGGCCCUCCAGCCAAAGACCACCAGGAACACGCCUCCAGUUGAACAAGUUGGGUUUAUUGCUAAUAGCGCUGAGGAGGCACACACACCCUGACUCUGGGGCACGGUGGAGGCAUCUCAGUCAGUGUUAGCACUUAUCCUAGGAUUGGGGCUUUUGCGGUAGGUGCUGUGGGGAAGAGUUCGAGGAAGGGUUUUGCCGUGGGUUGGACGUUGCCAGUAAGGAGGGGCAAAGGAUAGGUGGGCAAUCUUGAAUCUUAUCUAGGUGGGAGGUCCAAAGGUCCCCCGCUGUGACUGGUAAAGCGGCAGCAGUCCCUCGUGUUAGCUGGGAGGGAUGGGGGGGGGGGUUGGUCAUUCAAGCGGUCAUUCAACACGGUUCGUGUUUUGUCUGCGUUCAGACAUUACUGUGGCGCGGUGUUGGCUUGAUUCAGCUCAGUCACACAGCCCGGCCUUGCCCGACAAGGUUGUGUGACGCCGUGUUCAGCAGGAGAACACCAAGGCCUAGCUGUGAGUGCCGGGCCAGACCCCGGGCUAUCAAGCCGCUCUUCUCUUUCUCGAUACCAAUAACGGCGAGCCACUGCGUAGCACUGUUCUAAGCACUUUUCAUAAAGUAAUUCAUUUACUCCUUCUGACAGCCCAAUGCGAUAGAUACUGAUAGGGUCGUUACCCCAUCUUCCAAAUGACGAAACUGUUAUAUUUGCCUCGGAAGUGGUAGAUGGGGGAUUCGAUCCCAGGCAGUCUGGCGCCAGGGGCUGUGCUCGAAUCACACAGCUCUGUUGGAAGGGCAGAUUCCCUGGGUUCCAGUCCUGACUCCACAGGUUCAUAGGCAAGUUGUCUAACCUUUUCGAGCCUCCUUCUGCUCAUCCAUAAGACAGGUCCAGUAAUAGUUUGUCUGGCCCACUGUCCAGCCCUGGCAUAGAGCCUGGCACGUGGCCACCUGGGGGCCCCGCAGUGCACCCGCUGCCUCAUCACCUUCGCCGACUCCAAGUUCCAAGAGCGUCACAUGAAGCGGGAGCACCCAGCGG